rnacentral:lncRNA from 1 species
CCCCCUAACCUUGCCCUUCUGCCCUUUGUGGAUUCUCCUAUAUUGCUGUUCCCCAAUCCCACCCGCAAGGGGCGCGCGAGAUGAAACAGUUCUGUCCUGGGAUAUACCACUGAGGGGUAGCGGUAAGACCACCCACUCUGAAAGGUACCAUUGGGAGAGGGCCUGUGACAACAGAGACAGGGUCUCCUUACACCGCGUUGGCACGGACCGCAGUUCCCUGCAGCGGCACUCAUGGCGCCACUGAGUCCAUCCCCGUUUGCUCCUCUUCAUCUUCCCACUGCUUUCGAAUCCGAGUGGACACAGGGAGAAAUAUGAGUGGGCAAGUGGCAUCAGCAUUUGGACCUACAAAGCAAGAUUGCUCCCAGGUGGAUGAACCUGUGGUUAUGAGUAACCUUACCAUUUGAUGUUUUCUGUUAGCACAAGUUUAUUUUUGAGAAAAUGAUGUUAAGUUGUACAGAUGCGGUGAUAAAGGUCUUCCAUGCUGAUAAAGGGUGACACUUUGUCUUAGGAAGGAACCUUGAUCCAGAUAUAUUAUAGUCCAGUGUUGCCUGGAUGAUUAUACUGUUAAAUUCCCUGGAAAUGUGCCCAGUGACUCCCUCCUCCUGCUUAUUAACAACAGGCUGCAUACUUCCAUCCCAACAUAGACUUAAAUAACUUCCAAAGUCUUCCUGGGUAACUCUUAUGGGAG